GAAAUGCGAUAAGUAAUGUGAAUUGCAGAAUUCAGUGAAUCAUCGAAUCUUUGAACGCAUCUUGCGCUCCUUGGUAUUCCGAGGAGCAUGCCUGUUUGAGUGUCAUUUGACUUCUCUCAACCACAUUGAUCAUGAAUGUGGCUUGGAUGUGGGGUUGCAGGCUUCUUCUUACAAUGAGGUCCGGCUCCCCUGAAAUGCAUUAGUGGUGUCUGAGCUGCUAUUUGGUGUGAUAAUUUAUCUAUGCCUUUGGUAAUGCUGAUCAGCACUGCUUAUAACAACCACCGUUAUUUGACAAAUUUGACCUCAAAUCAGGUAGGACUACCCGCUGAACUUAA
rnacentral:misc_RNA from 1 species